GUGGGGAAUAUUGGACAAUGGGGGAAACCCUGAUCCAGCAACGCCGCGUGGAGGAUGAAGGUCUUCGGAUUGUAAACUCCUGUUAGGGGGGACGAAGGGCUGCCGGCGAACAGCCGGCAGACUUGACGGUACCCCCAGAGGAAGCCCCGGCUAACUCUGUGCCAGCAGCCGCGGUAAUACAGAGGGGGCGAGCGUUAUUCGGAAUUAUUGGGCGUAAAGGGCGCGUAGGCGGCUGGGUAAGUCCUGGGUGAAAUCCCUCAGCUCAACUGAGGAACUGCCUCGGAAACUACCCGGCUUGAGGCCGGGAGAGGGUAGUGGAAUUCCCAGUGUAGCGGUGAAAUGCGUAGAUAUUGGGAGGAACACCGGUGGCGAAGGCGGCUACCUGGACCGGUUCUGACGCUGAUGCGCGAAAGCGUGGGGAGCAAACAGGAUUAGAAACCCGAGUAGUCC
rnacentral:rRNA from 1 species